UACGUAGGGUGCAAGCGUUAAUCGGAAUUACUGGGCGUAAGGUGUGCGCAGGUGGCCGCGCAAGUCGGUUGUGAAAUCCCCGGGCUCAACCUGGGAACUGCAUCCGAGACUGCAUUGCUAGAGUAUGGGAGAGGAAAGCGGAAUUUCUGGUGUAGCAGUGAAAUGCGUAGAUAUCAGAAGGAACAUCAGUGGCGAAGGCGGAGACCUGGGCCGAUACUGACGCUGAGGUGCGAAAGCGUGGGGAGCAAACAGG
rnacentral:rRNA from 1 species